rnacentral:rRNA from 1 species
UGAGUAACACGUAUGCAACCUGCCUGCCACAGCCGGAUAAUCGGGAGAAAUUCCGUCUAAUACGGCAUAAUGCAUCGACGGGACAUCCUGUUGGUGCCAAAAGGUUAAUUCCGGUGGCGGAUGGGCAUGCGUCGCAUUAGUUAGUUGGCGGUGUAACGGACCACCAAGACGACGAUGCGUAGGGGUUCUGAGAGGAAGGUCCCCCACACUGGUACUGAGACACGGACCAGACUCCUACGGAAGGCAGCAG